rnacentral:rRNA from 1 species
CUGCCAGUAGUCAUAUGCUUGUCUCAAAGAUUAAGCCAUGCAUGUCUCAGUACAAGCCAAAUUAAGGUGAAACCGCGAAAGGCUCAUUAAAUCAGUUAUGGUUCCUUAGAUCGUACCCACAAUUACUUGGAUAACUGUGGUAAUUCUAGAGCUAAUACAUGCAAACAGAGCUCCGACCGGAGACGGAAGGAGUGCUUUUAUUAGAUCAAAACCAAUCGGUGGCGAGUUCGCUCGUCAUCGUACAACUUGGUGACUCUGAAUAACUUUACGCUGAUCGCACGGUCUCGCACCGGCGACGCAUCUUUCAAAUGUCUGCCUUAUCAACUGUCGAUGGUAGGUUCUGCGCGUACCAUGGUUGUAACGGGUAACGGGGAAUCAGGGUUCGAUUCCGGAGAGGGAGCCUGAGAAACGGCUACCACAUCCAAGGAAGGCAGCAGGCGCGCAAAUUACCCACUUCCGGCACGGAGAGGUAGUGACGAAAAAUAACGAUACGGGACUCAUCCGAGGCCCCGUAAUCGGAAUGAGUACACUCUAAACCCUUUAACGAGGAUCAAUUGGAGGGCAAGUCUGGUGCCAGCAGCCGCGGUAAUUCCAGCUCCAAUAGCGUAUAUUAAAGU